GUGUCGGUAGUGCAACGGUUUAGCACACGCUCACGGAAAGAGUGAGAUCUGGGUUCGCUUCCCGGCUGAAGCA